CUGGUCUCUGGGGACACUGGGCAGCGUGAUGGGAAAGGUCCCGGGAAGGGGGGCCAGACAAAGCUGUCAGCUUCCUAUUCUGAGGCCAGCUGCCACGUGCUGGUCCCUGACUGAACUCUACCUCCUCACCGGCGAAAGUGAGCAGUGAUGGAAACCGUGAAUUAAAAUGACUCUGCAUAGAUGUAACCAAGCUCCCACCCCCCAACUACAACUGAGAAGACAGCCAGGCCUGGAGAGGCUCCCACAGAGAGACAUUUCACCCUUGUGGGAGUGACCGCCAGUCCAAAGAGUCCCAGGAGCAAAAGAAUGGAAGGAGCUGGGGCUGUGAAGGUCAAGGAAUAUUGAUGGCAGCCCUCUUUCCUUCUGGUUUGGCUGAUUCAGAUGGGGUCUGGCUUUCACUUGCCUGUGGACUCUAUUAAUGGUUUGGCUGCCUGGAAGUCCAGUCUUUAUGGGCACAGGGAGUUUCUACAUUGGUACAUGUAGGCGCUUCUACAUUGGGAGUUCCCUACAUGGAUAAAUUAAUAGUUCUGGACAAUGACAACAGCAACCAUAAUGGUAUAUCUGCUGUCAUAAUCCACAAAUUAAAUGAAAUGUCUUUUGAACAGUUACCAUACACUAAAUGCUAUGAGGGAAAUGGGAAAUUAUAAGAUACAUUAUAAUGUUUAUUGGUGCUGUUGUUCAUUCUUUGUUUUCAAAGAAGACCAGUGAUAUCACAGGGUGAGGCAGAGCUGCACAAAGUAGUCAGCCUCACUCUUUUUUCCAGAGUCAUGGGAGUCCAGUGGCAGGAGAAAAGUCAAUGCCCAGGAUGCAGUGAAUGACCUCGGUAUCUUCGACGUCUGACCAAGCUCUAAGCGUUCCCCAGCGCCCGAUUCAGCCACCUUCGUGGCCAUUGGGACAAACUGGUCUCAUUCGCCCAUUCUGCCCCAGGGAAAUCUUCACAUGCUGGGGGUAGACACCCCCUCAAAAACCAACAGGUCUGAAGCAUGCUAGUUACCCUCAACCUAGUUUAGCCCAUCUGCUGAGACAGUUUAGCAGGGUGUGUGUGUGGUGCAGGUUACAGCUUCUUGGAGCCACAGGUGAGGGGCUGGGUGAACUGUGGACACCAAAGCUGGGUGAGCAG